UAAAUAAAAGUUUUGUCAAGAUA
rnacentral:siRNA from 1 species